rnacentral:rRNA from 1 species
GAGUAACGACGUAUCGCGACCUGCCCCGGACAGGGGGAUAAACCCGGGAAACUGGGCCUAAUACCCCAUACGCCGAUGGGAUGCAUGUCCUUUCGGUGAAAGAUCCGUCGGUCCGGGAUGGGCAUGCGGCGCGAUUAGCUUGUUGGCGGGGCAACGGCCACCAAGGCGACGAUGCGUAGGGGUUCUGAGAGGAAGGUCCCCCACACUGGUACUGAGACACGGACCAGACUCCUACGGGAGGCAGCAGUGAGGAAUAUUGGUCAAUGGACGGCGGUCUGAACCAGCCAAGUCGCGUGCGGGAUGAAGGCCCUCCGGGUCGUAAACCGCUUUAGCCGGGGAGUAACGUGCGGAACGUGUUCCGCAGUGAGAGUACCCGGAGAAUAAGCAUCGGCUAACUCCGUGCCAGCCGCUGC